UUUUGUUUUUAUCUUGAUGUCUUGAUGAGUUAAGAACCGAGCUUGGAAAGAAAUGUUGCAGAGAGUUGAAGGCAGAAAGUAGAAAAGAAAAGCCUCUGUUUUCAUUAACAGAGGCAGAACUGCCUUCCCAUUUUCCUAUCUAACUAAAAGACAGGUGGUUUUUAGUUGGUUAGUUAGUUGAAUAAAGGGGGGAUCUUGGUUUAAAUUCUGAAAAUCAGCAUUUUGGAUCUGUCUCUAUCGUUUGCAAUAACUCCUAGGAAUCAACUAAUUCUGACUAAAUUUUGUGUCUUGUAGUUUAGUAUGGCUCAUAACUUAUACUUUCAUUUCUAUACACAAUCAUCUUAUGAGGAAAGCAGAACAAAUAUUAUUUUCUCAUUCUUAUAAAUGAAGCAAACACUCAGCAAGCUGACUUGUCUGGCUUGCCUGGUGUGGCACAGUGAGUAGCCAUAGUGAGGUCAGUGCCAGGCCUCCGACUCCUGGUGCACAGUCUUCUUCAUUUUGAAUUGUGCUGGUGCCACCGACUUAAAUUGUGACCAGUAAUUUUUCAAAGGAGCAUAUAUGUUCUGUGGCUUAUAUUAACAUUUGUCUCAUGGAUAUGUGAUAACACGAAAUGAGACAUUUAGUCAGCUGUGUUGUUAACUAUAUUCCUGGCUUUCAACAUUGGCUAAGCAUAGAAUCGCAUGAGAAAAUUUUAUUUUUUAUUUUUUAUCUUUUUAUGGAGUCUUGCUGUGUCACCCAGCCUGGGCAACAGAGCAAGAUUCUGUCU
rnacentral:lncRNA from 1 species